rnacentral:rRNA from 1 species
CAGUCGCCGCGGGAAUACGAAGGGGGCUAGCGUUGCUCGGAAUGACUGGGCGUAAAGGGCGCGUAGGCGGCGAUCAAAGUCAGGCGUGAAAUUCCUGGGCUCAACCUGGGGGCUGCGCUUGAUACUUGGUUGCUUGAGUGGGGAAGAGGGUCGUGGAAUUCCCAGUGUAGAGGUGAAAUUCGUAGAUAUUGGGAAGAACACCGGUGGCGAAGGCGGCGACCUGGUCCUUGACUGACGCUGAGGCGCGAAAGCGUGGGGAGCAAACAGGAUUAGAUACCCGUGUAGUCCCUGUCUCUUAUAC